GAAAUAGAACCUGAAACCGUGUGCCUACAACAAGUUCGAGCCCGUUAAUGGGUGAGAGCGUGCCUUUUGUAGAAUGAACCGGCGAGUUACGUUAUGAUGCGAGGUUAAGUUGAAGAGACGGAGCCGUAGGGAAACCGAGUCUGAAUAGGGCGCCUUAGUAUCAUGACGUAGACCCGAAACCAUGUGACCUACCCAUGAGCAGGUUGAAGGUGCGGUAAGACGCACUGGAGGACCGAACCAGGGCACGUUGAAAAGUGCUUGGAUGACUUGUGGGUAGCGGAGAAAUUCCAAACGAACUUGGAGAUAGCUGGUUCUCUCCGAAAUAGCUUUAGGGCUAGCGUCGACAUUAGAGAUUCUUGGAGGUAGAGCACUGUUUGGGUGAGGGGUCCAUCCCGGAUUACCAAUCUCAGAUAAACUCCGAAUGCCAAUGAAUUAUGGUCGGCAGUCAGACUGCGAGUGCUAAGAUCCGUAGUCGAAAGGGAAACAGCCCAGACCACCAGCUAAGGUCCCAAAAUAAUUGUUAAGUGGAAAAGGAUGUGGGGUUGCACAGACAACUAGGAUGUUAGCUUAGAAGCAGCUAUUCAUUCAAAGAGUGCGUAAUAGCUCACUAGUCGAGUGACCCUGCGCCGAAAAUGUACCGGGCUAAAACAAUUUACCGAAGCUGUGGAUACCUUUAUAGGUAUGGUAGGAGAGCGUUCUAUGUGUGAUGAAGGUAUACCGUGAGGAGUGCUGGAACGCAUAGAAGUGAGAAUGCCGGUAUGAGUAGCGAAAGACAGGUGAGAAUCCUGUCCACCGUAAGACUAAGGUUUCCAGGGAAGGCUCGUCCGCCUGGGUUAGUCGGGACCUAAGGAGAGACCGAAAGGUGUAUCCGAUGGACAACAGGUUGAUAUUCCUGUACUAGAGUAUGUAGUGAUGGAGGGACGCAGUAGGCUAACUAAAGCAGACGAUUGGAAGAGUCUGUCUAAGCAGUGAGGUGUGAUAUGAGUCAAAUGCUUAUAUCUGUAACAUUGAGCUGUGAUGGGGAGCGAAGUUUAGUAGCGAAGUUAGUGACGUCACACUGCCAAGAAAAGCUUCUAGCGUUUAAACAUACUCUACCCGUACCGCAAACCGACACAGGUAGUCGAGGCGAGUAGCCUCAGGUGAGCGAGAGAACUCUCGUUAAGGAACUCGGCAAAAUGACCCCGUAACUUCGGGAGAAGGGGUGCUGACUUUUAAGUCAGCCGCAGUGAAUAGGCCCAAGCAACUGUUUAUCAAAAACACAGCUCUCUGCUAAAUCGUAAGAUGAUGUAUAGGGGUGACGCCUGCCCGGUGCUGGAAGGUUAAGAGGAGUGCUUAGCGUAAGCGAAGGUAUGAAUUGAAGCCCCAGUAAACGGCGGCCGUAACUAUAACGGUCCUAAGGUAGCGAAAUUCCUUGUCGGGUAAGUUCCGACCCGCACGAAAGGCGUAAUGAUUUGGGCACUGUCUCAACGAGAGACUCGGUGAAAUUUUAGUACCUGUGAAGAUGCAGGUUACCCGCGACAGGACGGAAAGACCCCAUGGAGCUUUACUGCAGUUUGAUAUUGAGUGUCUGUACCACAUGUACAGGAUAGGUAGGAGUCUAAGAGAUCGGGACGCCAGUUUCGAAGGAGACGCUGUUGGGAUACUACCCUUGUGUUAUGGCCACUCUAACCCAGAUAGGUGAUCCCUAUCGGAGACAGUGUCUGACGGGCAGUUUGACUGGGGCGGUCGCCUCCUAAAAGGUAACGGAGGCGCCCAAAGGUUCCCUCAGAAUGGUUGGAAAUCAUUCGCAGAGUGUAAAGGUAUAAGGGAGCUUGACUGCGAGAGCUACAACUCGAGCAGGGACGAAAGUCGGGCUUAGUGAUCCGGUGGUUCCGUAUGGAAGGGCCAUCGCUCAACGGAUAAAAGCUACCCUGGGGAUAACAGGCUUAUCUCCCCCAAGAGUUCACAUCGACGGGGAGGUUUGGCACCUCGAUGUCGGCUCGUCGCAUCCUGGGGCUGUAGUCGGUCCCAAGGGUUGGGCUGUUCGCCCAUUAAAGCGGCACGCGAGCUGGGUUCAGAACGUCGUGAGACAGUUCGGUCCCUAUCCGUCGCGGGCGUAGGAAAUUUGAGAGGAUCUGCUCCUAGUACGAGAGGACCAGAGUGGACUUACCGCUGGUGUACCAGUUGUCUUGCCAAAGGCAUCGCUGGGUAGCUAUGUAGGGAAGGGAUAAACGCUGAAAGCAUCUAAGUGUGAAACCCACCUCAAGAUGAGAUUUCCCAUGAUUAUAUAUCAGUAAGAGCCCUGAGAGAUGAUCAGGUAGAUAGGUUAGAAGUGGAAGUGUGGCGACACAUGUAGCGGACUAAUACUAAUAGCUCGAGGACUUAUCCAAA
rnacentral:rRNA from 1 species